ensembl:snRNA U6 U6 spliceosomal RNA
AUGUUCACUAUGGCAGCACAUAUACUAAAAUUAGAAAGCUACAGAGAUUAGCAUGGCCUCUGUGCAAGGAUGACAUACAAAUUUGUGAAGCAUCUUUAUUUAUU